rnacentral:rRNA from 1 species
AACGAACGCUGGCGGCAUGCCUAACACAUGCAAGUCGAACGAGACCUUCGGGUCUAUUGGCGCACGGGUGCGUAACGCGUGGGAACCUGCCCUUAGGUUCGGUAUACCUCCCCGAAAGUUGUGUUAAUACCGUAUAAUCUCUUCCCACCAAAGAUUUAUCGCCUUUGGAUGGGCCCGCGUUAGAUUAGCUAGUUGGUAUGGUAAAAGCAUACUAACACCACGAUCCAUAGCUGGUCUGAGAGGAUGAUCAGCCACACUGGGACUGAGACACGGCCCACACAGCUACGGGAGGGAGAAGUAGAGAACAUAGGACAAUGGGCGAAAGCCUAAUCAAGCAAGGCCGAGUGAGUGAUGAAGGACGUAGGGUAGUAAAGCUAUUUUACCCGGGAUGAUAAUGACAGUACCGGGAGAAUAAGCGCCGGCUAACUACGUG